CACUGAGGUUGAAGACUGGAGCUCUCCAGAAGAGAAACUGCUUGGAUGUGGCCUGGUGGGAUUUCAUGUGCUCUGAUUUCACGUUGCUCAGAGCGCUAAUUGCAGCACAUGGCUAAGGGCGAGUGUACCUCCAGGCCAGAUGGAAUUGAACUGGAAGUGAACAUUGCUGGUCUCGGAAAUGGGCUUAUGCUGGGGCCAGAACUGACUGGGAAUACUUCCCUGGAACUUCUGCUGCCUCAGCAAAAUAUCUACCAAGAAAUUAUGGAAUCGAGGCCAAAUGGAGCAGGAUUCAUCCAGGAGAUGAAAGCUCAGAGUUGAACCAAACCUGUUUCGGAGCAGUUUUAGACUGAAACGUUUCUGUGUUUCCCACUCUGACAUCCUGAAAUUCCUCGUGGAAGGAAUCUUUGCCCUCUGCAUGGCCUCCUAUAGUCCAGACAGAUGGAUGCAUGAGAUGAAGAAGGAAGGAGGAGAAUGAGGAGGCAGUGUGGAGCAGAACGGCAAUCCUGGGAAAGGAUCCUGGUCCAGUUGCUAUGGAUGGUAGGAUGUGGUCCUACAACCUCCCCCACAGGAUGUGUGGGUCCGGGACUGGCCCAAGCACGUGUCCCACUCCUGAUGCAGCCCGGGGUGUACAGAGGUUGUUUUUCACCGAAUGGAGGUUUUUCCCUGAGGUUUGUGCAAGAUGCUCUCAGAGAGAGCUAUAAAUACCGCAGUGCUUCCUGUGCGGCUCUGCGAGGAGGAAGCUGCUUCCCCAGCAGGGGAAGGAGGCAGCGGGCGUCCCGGUGGGUGCAGGCAGCUGUGUGUGUUGGGGGCGUGGGGGGGGUCCUCCUCGUGCACCCCUCUUUCUGUGCUGGGGAUGGGAUGCUCGGGUGGAGCUCUGCUGCUCUGCAUCAGACUGGAUUUAGCUUUGGUGUUUCUAGAAAGCAGGGUGUGGGGAGGACGUGGCAGGAUGCUGGGCAGGGUGAGGAGUGUGAGAGGCAUUCAGAGAGAGUGAGGUCCCGUUGCUCCUUUCUGAGCAAGGUCUGCUGCGUGAGAAUGUUCUGAAAUGCAGUUUUUGCUGGUGCAGAUGGUGACAGUCCUGAACAGGGAGUUUUGGAGUGGAUGCAGUGGGUUUGCACCCACUGGGAUCUCGAGAGGAGUGAGAGCCACCUCUCAUUCCACUGUCACCCUGCUCCCCAGCUGCUGCUGACAGCCCUGGGACAGCAGAGCUCCCGGAGUGGAAGGGAAGGUGUGCUGGGGCCAACCCACAGGUAGGGGAUGGUGAUGCACCUGAAGGCACCUCAUGCACUGAUCUCCAAGAUUGCUGCAAGGUCUGUGGGCUAUCUAGCAGCAUGAAACCUCCAACCAACCUCCGGGCCCUCUGUGAGGUCUCCUUUGGCAGUCUCCAGUCCUGGCAUCCUCUCUUUCCAGAGCUAUUUCUGUGUUUAUUUCUGUGGGGGGGAGAGAUGUAGGAACAUAAAUGUCCUUUGGGGAAGUGGAGGGGAUGAGCUGUGCCCAGCGGAUGAGCCCCACCUUCCCAGUGAUCCCGGAUGGGACCGGGGAGGGUUUAUUCACCAGGAAAUGCAUUUGGGUCACAUAAAGAUGAUUUGCAGCAUUAGGCUGUGACUGCCAAGAGUUGAGCACGGAGCACAGAGUGUGGGCACUGCUCACAGGUGCAGGCUUUGCACUCUUCGAAACUCCCUGUGCCUUUGCAAUGUGGCCCCAGUCGAGCAGCAUUGCAGGUUGGGAAACUGACAGCACCUGUGAGGGACACGGCUGUGUUGCUCCCUUACAUUUUGGGCAGCUCUGGAAGCUUUGGGUCGUGCUGAGCAAUGGGUGAUGCGUAGCCUUGCAAAGGAGCUCUGCAGUCUGACUUCUGCACUCUCGUUUGUGGUUCGCUGUGGAAGGCAGAGCCUGAAUGAGACAGAAGCACCGAGCUGAUGUUGCAUGUCACUGUGUGAGGAACUCUGCCUGAGGUUUUGCAUUUGGGAAGCCCCGGGGCUCAAACUGAAAACAAAAUGGGUACUCACGCAAUUUCUGGUCCCAGAGGAAGCUCCAUUCACAGGAGGUGCCAGGCAGAAUGUUGGCUGUCACUGAGGAAAAAGGGCCUUGGGUGGGGGCACUCAGUCUGAAACACACUCAGACUCAGAGGGAAAAGCAUACCAACCUGGUUUCCCUCGUGAUUUCUGACAACCGUGCCUUAAAGUGAUCAUUAAAAUGAUCUCUAAGCCAAUUUGUUGAUACGGCAGACUUUGGUUGGCUGCUCAGCUGCGGGCUCUUCUUUGCAGAAUAACAAGUGGGGGAACGGCCCAUGGGAGAUCACUGCUGGGUUCCCCAUCAUCCUGCAAGAAAAAGGACGAGCCAAGAGAGGACUCGAUUGGGCAGCACAGACACCUUCCUGGGGAGAGCAGCCCCAGCACCGAGCGGUGCCUCGGUGAUGUAAGGAGAGGCAGGACGUGUCCGAGGAAACCCCCACAUGGACAGCAGGCCCUGAGCCAAAGCUGUCACCAAAUUCUGAGAGCCACUGCUGGGCCAGCCAAGAGAGAGGCGGCUGCUCACGGCUCUGUGCGUGUCAGCUCUGAUGAGAGGGGCUUUCCCAGGGCAAGGCAAAUCCAAAGAGGGAAUGCAGGCGCUGUGUGGGCAGUGCUGAUGCGAUGAGGUAUUUGCAGAACCUGUAGUUUCUGGCUGCUGCUGCUUGGAAUGAGGAUGCGAUUUUCCCAGUAGUCAAGAAAUAACAUGAAGCAUUAAUCCCAGGAGAGCCCUGCUAAUGAGCCCAGGAAAACCCAGCAGUUGGGGCUGGGAGCCAAUGGGAGCAGUGUGAGCACAGCAAAAGGGCUGUGUGAACCCCGGGGAGGGGAAAGUGGUGGGGCUAUGGCAGGAGUGGGGUGGGUGCUGGCAGGGCCUGGUGGGGCCACGGUGUGCUGCAGGGAGAGAAGGAAGGGCAGGCUGUGGGCAAGGGCUGGGAAACAGAGGCCAACUGGUUCUUGUUUAUCUGCUCCAUCUUCUACCCUGAUGGAGCUCACGGUGUGAGAAGCAGCCUGAGCAGGUGGGAGCUCACAGCUGUGCAGGUGAGCAGCCCCUGGAGAUGAAGAGUUCGUACUGCCCCAUGGAUGAGUGCAAAUGUUUUCGUAUCACUGGAAAGCAAAAUGACAAACCAUCUACUUCCAUCAAUAACAGUUCAGAUUGGUGCUGAGGUGAUGGCAGUCCUUGCAAGUUCAGGAUACAUUAUAGCUGCAGGAUCCCUGUGAAAGCAAUGGCUGUGCUUGCUCAGCAUACCGUACUCAUCCAGUUGUAGCUGCAAGCUCUUGUUAGCUAAUUGCUCCCCACAAAGUGCCUUCUCUUCGGCCAGCUCUCCCACUGAGCCUAAUGACAUCUCAGUGUAGCCCUGCUCUAUAUGCAAAACCUCGCACAGCCAUUGUGUCAGCGUUGUGGGCUCCUGUGACAGGUCCUUUUGUAAGGUCUUCUCAUCCUGGCACCAGCAGGUGAGGGCUCUUACCUCUGUUUUCACUAGCUGCAAAUCAUACUGCUAUAAAGCAGAGGGAAGCGGGGUCUUCAUCCCUGCCCCAAAGGGACAUCGGCCACUGAGUGGGAGAUAGAGAAGUGGCAGAAGGCCCAGCAAGAAAACGAUUUGGGUGGAAAUUUUCACCUGGGAGAGCAUAUACGACAGACCAGGGGAGGUUCUGCAGGAAGGGAACCCUGGGGGGUUUAUAAAGCACAGAGACGGAGGUGAUGGAGAGCAGAAGCCCAUCCCACUCGUGGCCUCCAGCCUGAGUGAUCCAGGAUGCCCUCAGCUGGGCAGACCCUGUUUUCUGCUCAGGCUCUGGGUGGAUUCAUCCCACUGCUUCUGCUGAGUGGAAUGAGCCUUGUGAAGCUCUGUUCCUUCACUCCCAGGCAUGCAGAGGACAGAGGAUCGCAGCGCUCUGCAGGAUGUCUGCUCAGCUGCCCUGGGAUGGACCCUCCGGGAGAUGAGGGCUCUGAUGCAGAUUCUGCCUCCUGCCCGGUGUCACGGGGCUGUCUGGCACUUUGCAAGAGGAAAAAAAAUGAUGUGCCUGCCACUGAAAGGUACAGUUUGUGUUAUACCAAGGACAGAGUGACGAGAGAGAACACAGAGUGCAGGCAGAGAGGGUGAACUGUUCAUUACAGGAUCUGCUUUCAUGCAUCUAUCUCACAGGCUGGGGCUGAGCUCAGGUUUUUGUGACCCCACUGUGGCUCCUGCCCUUGGAGCUGCCUUCCUGCUUGCAGGGCUGGAGCUGCAGCCUGGCCCUGAUGCGUUGGGAACUGUUUGUCCUGACCAUGCGAGUGGGCAGAUCUGGGAUCAGGCUUUGCUGAUUCUACUCCGAGGAACAGGAGGGAAGGAAGCAAUUUCUGUAAAUAUAGCAAGAAAGCCCUUACAUCUAAUUGCUGGAAGUGGCUGGGGAAGCUGACAGACUAUAAUCGGCGUUGCGACUUUUUUCCGGCUCAUCGACAACAGCAGAGCUCCUCUGCAGCGCUCAGCACCGCUCCGGUGCAGCCCAGGGAGAAGGGAUGGUGCUGCAGCUUUGUGUGAAUUGGGAAUAGGAAGGGGUGGCACAGCCCUAACAGGCAGGAUGAGCGCUGGCUGUGGUGGCUGCGUCCCUUAUUUCUGGGCAAAUGUUCUUGGAAUGUGGUCUCUCCACGAGGCUUUAGGGAAUUUCAGCUGUGUGACGGCACUGGGUGGCAGUCCCUUUGCUCUGCCAUGGCCACCAUCCUUCCUCUGCCCUUUACACUGCUCACUGCUGCCCCGUGGGGAGCUUUGCACCCUGACCCUGAGAUAGCUGGCAAUUACAGACUGAGUCAGCCAAGCACACCCCAGAGGUGUUAUCCCUGGAUGCACAGGCUGGGACAAGAAGAGAGUUUUCCUUGUAGCCUCCCACAAGCGCUGGCGACUUCCAGAUCACGAUGAUGUACUGUAUUGUGGCAGUGAACCACAGCUCCUUCAGCAACUGCCUGCAGCCCAAUCUCCUUCUGUGAGCAGGUGGAACAGGGCCACGGGAUGUAGAUUCCAAUCUGCAGGUAGUGAAUGGGGCUUUUUUGCACAGAGGCUCUUUACACACAGAACUGUGACUCCUGGAGCGAGAUACGAUCUGUCCCACACAAGGACAGAGCUCUGCUAAGUGGCCCAUCCUGCUGGGCUGCAGCCCCUACCUGAGCGCUCUCCCACCUGAAGUCACACUGGUGCCCUUCAGAUGGUUUUCAUUUGAACUCCCAGAUCUUCUUCUACCUAUUUCCCAAACAAGAGGACAAACCUGCUUCUUUAACAACAACCAAGCCACCCUUGCCACACUGCAAAGAGCUUCCUUAGCAUCCAGGUUUGAAACACUCUCUUUUCCUUCCUAAUGUCUGUGUCCAUGCCUGUGCUUCCCCUAAGCUGCUGUUUCAGGGCUGCUUUUUGUACAAAAUUACCUCCUGAGAGCAAGUGUUCAGCUGCACUGUGAUACCCACUGGUGUCAGUACAGCGGCUCCUGCGUUGCAAAGUUCAGCGUCUGUGGAAGUCUUUGCAACAGUGGGAUUUUGGUUGGUGUGUCCCUUGGAUUUUGGAUCACUGAGAAGACAUCCAGAACAGCCUGAAAGAACCCUUUCCUUGGUGCCUUGGUCUCCGGAGGUCACCCUGAGUGCAAUUACCUUCUCCAAGUGCUAUGUGAGGAGAUCUGGCAGAGCCACGUGUGACUCACAGUAGUGCAUUAUAACCGGUGUAACGCUGCCAGCUCCAAGGUGACCUUGCUGUGGCACAGCGUGCUGGCACCUCCAUGGAGCUCAGGCCUUGAACAGCCAGCAAGGACCGUGCCCAACCCCUCAUCCAAGCCCAGCACAUCACUAUCUUCAGCCAAAUGUCUGGGAUAGGUGUGGUUAAUAGCAGUCUACUGUAUGCUUUGUGCAAAGCACGUCUUCCUCUUCAGACUCCUCCACUGGUGCCCGUCACUACUUGGGCCUUCCUGAGCAAGACCUGUCUGACAGCUGCAGCCCAUUGCAGGCCAGGUAGGAGCUGAGAUUAAAAACGAGACCUUGGACUGUUCCACGUGUCAGUUACUUCUGAGUGAUAUCCUCAGAAGCUGCAGCCAACGAGAUGAACAGGCAGCUGGCCAGUUAUGCAGACAGACCAACUGGGAAGGAAAGAAAGGGAGAUCUUGUCUCAGGACUCUGUUGUGUUACACAUAUUAAAAAACAAAACAACAAACAUA